CCUACGGGUGGCAGCAGUCGAGAAUCAUUCACAAUGGGGGAAACCCUGAUGGUGCGACGCCGCGUGGGGGAAUGAAGGUCUUCGGAUUGUAAACCCCUGUCAUGUGGGAGCAAAUUAAAAAGAUAGUACCACAAGAGGAAGAGACGGCUAACUCUGUGCCAGCAGCCGCGGUAAUACAGAGGUCUCAAGCGUUGUUCGGAAUCACUGGGCGUAAAGCGUGCGUAGGCUGUUUCGUAAGUCGUGUGUGAAAGGCGCGGGCUCAACCCGCGGACGGCACAUGAUACUGCGAGACGAGAGGAAUGGAGGGGGAACAGGAAUUCUCGGUGUAGCAGUGAAAUGCGUAGAUAUCGAGAGGAACACUCGUGGCGAAGGCGGGUUCCUGGACAUUAACUGACGCUGAGGCACGAAGGCCAGGGGAGCGAAAGGGAUUAGAUACCCUGGUAGUC
rnacentral:rRNA from 1 species